GAAAUGCGAUAAGUAAUGUGAAUUGCAGAAUUCAGUGAAUCAUCGAAUCUUUGAACGCACAGUGCGCCCGCCAGUAUUCUGGCGGGCAUGCCUGUUCGAGCGUCAUUACAACCCUCAGGCCCCCGGGCCUGGCGUUGGGGAUCGGCGGAAGCCCCCUGCGGGCACAACGCCGUCCCCCAAAUACAGUGGCGGUCCCGCCGCAGCUUCCAUUGCGUAGUAGCUAACACCUCGCAACUGGAGAGCGGCGCGGCCACGCCGUAAAACACCCAACUUCUGAAUGUUGACCUCGAAUCAGGUAGGAAUACCCGCUGAACUUAAGC
rnacentral:misc_RNA from 1 species